rnacentral:rRNA from 1 species
AGCAGCCGCGGUAAUUCCAGCUCCAAUAGCGUAUAUUAAAGUUGUUGCAGUUAAAAAGCUCGUAGUUGAAUUUCGGGAUCAAUACGUCGGUCGUGCUUCGGUACGUACUGGCGUCAUUGAUUUCUCCCUUCUGACGAACCAUGAUGUCAUUAACUUGGUGUCAUGGGAAAUCAGGACUGUUACUUUGAAAAAAUUAGAGUGUUUAAAGCAGGCUCACGCUUGAAUACAUUAGCAUGGAAUAAUGAAAUAGGACGUUCGAUCCUAUUUUGUUGGUUUUUAGGAUCGACGUAAUGAUUAAUAGGGAUAGUUGGGGGCAUUAGUAUUCAAUUGUCAGAGGUGAAAUUCUUGGAUUUAUUGAAGACUAACUACUGCGAAAGCAUUUGCCAAGGAUGUUUUCAUUAAUCAAGAACGAAAGUUAGGGGAUCGAAGACGAUCAGAUACCGUCGUAGUCUUAACCAUAAACUAUGCCGACUAGGGAUCGGAUGAUGUUAAUUUUUUAAUGACUCAUUCGGCGCCUUAC